AGGCCCAAAGAGAGAGGCAGGGUCUAAUCUGCAGCCUCCAUAGCAGCUGUUGAUUAGCUGUUGCUUCUCUCUCUCUCUCCU
rfam:Myotis brandtii contig155055, whole genome shotgun sequence.